rnacentral:rRNA from 1 species
AUUCCAGCUCCAAUAGCGUAUAUUAAAGUUGCUGCAGUUAAAAAGCUCGUAGUUGCAUUUCCGAGGCAAGGGAUUAGUCCGACCUUUGGUGGGUAUUUAAUCCUCUUGCCUCGUCCUUGAGUGGUGCUUCUUGGUAAUAAGUUAUCGAGGAGAUAGCCGCUCAUCGUUUACUGUGAGAAAAUUAGAAUGUUCAAAGCGGGCUUAUGCUGUUGAAUAUAUUAGCAUGGAAUAAUAAGAUAGGACCUCGGUACUAUUUUGUUGGUUUGAGAACCAAGGUAAUGAUGAAUAGGGACAGUUGGGGGUAUUCGUAUACAGUUGUCAGAGGUGAAAUUCUUAGAUUUACGGAAGACGAACUACUGCGAAAGCAUUUACCAAGGAUGUUUUCAUUA